CGUGCAGAGAACUUUCCAGAGAUGGAUUGGUGCCUUCGGGAACUCUGACACAGGUGCUGCAUGGCUGUCGUCAGCUCGUGUCGUGAGAUGUUGGGUUAAGUCCCGUAACGAGCGCAACCCUUGUCCUUAGUUACCAGCACGUUAUGUGGGCACUCUAAGGAGACUGCCGGUGACAAACCGGAGGAAGGUGGGGAUGACGUCAAGUCAUCAUGGCCCCUACGGCCUGGGCUACACACGUGCUACAAUGGUCGGUACAAAGGGUUGCCAAGCCGCGAGGUGGAGCUAAUCCCAUAAAACCGAUCGUAGUCCGGAUCGCAGUCUGCAACUCGACUGCGUGAAGUCGGAAUCGCUAGUAAUCGUGAAUCAGAAUGUCACGGUGAAUACGGUUCCCGGGCCUU
rnacentral:rRNA from 1 species